AAUUGCACUCUACUUUUGCUGUCUUUGAAGACUUAUGCGUUAAAGUAAGAAAAAGAUUAGUCGUCAUAAUCGACGUAUGUUGCGAAAUUUAAUGUACAUUGGAAAUUAAUCAAGAGUGACUUCUUGACUGCAAGACCUACGUGAUGCAAACUGGCUCGAGAUUCAAUUGACCGAAUUUGCAAUUUUCGCCACAGAAAUUAAUGGAAUGACUUUUUAAACAAGCGAAUUAGCAAAUCGUUGGCUCAUUAGUCAAAUUAACACCAAGCGGAGCAUGACACUAUCUCGACGACCUCUCUCCAAAUAGCCGCAUCUAUUUCAAGAUCAGCUUCUAACAAUAAGUUUCAUCGAUUUUUCUUCCAUUUAUGUUAUUUUGACGGGAAGCAUCUGGUCUUUUAUCUUUGCCCAAAGUAGCUACGUCAAAAGGCAAUUUUCUCUUCUUGCUCGGGGGGGGUGCGAAGGAAGCGGAAGUGAGGUCACCAAAGCGUCUCGAUUGGUGUUCUUGUCACGUGGCCACAGAAAAUAAUGGCGGACAUAGUAAUGGUCGCCUUCAUGAAUAACGGGAGAUGAAGAUGUCUUGGAGAAGAUCGUAUGAUUUUACUCCACGGGUAGUAGAAAAUGAAUUGGAUUCGUCAGACGACAGUGACUCCGAAGCUGGAACCGAAAACCUUAAAUUGUAUCACCGAAGAAAAUCUACGGUAACUGCUGUGAAAGCCAGGGGUUGUAUCAAGGAGGGAUUUUUGCUCAAACAAACCGGUUCAUUUCAGGUAGGUCCAGUAUUUUUCUCUGGAAAUUGACCUUGUCAACCUAAAAUAACACAGAUACAUUAUAAUACAACGAGGACAGUAUAAAUUUGUCCUUAAAAUUUUGUUUGCACUCAGUGAAGUAAGACAAUGAGCAAUUUAAAUAUAACUUUGCAGUGGUCAUAUCAAUUUUGUGACGAGAAUUCUUAUUUGCCCACUGACUAAAGAUGAAGCGCAACAUUAGUUGUUUGUCCAGAUCAAAAAAUCUUUUGUAAUCUUUGACAAAUUAGUAAGGAAAGUAUAAUCUAAAGAGUUUUAAUGCAUAAAAUUGUCAGCCCAUCCCUCUCGAUAAUGUUCUCCAGCCUUUGUUAAUAAUUAAUGGCAUUUUCCCAAUCAAAAUUUAAAUCCCAAUUUAAGGAUGAUAAUUUCAAAAAACAGUCUUUUGUGUAGCCAGCACAACAAUGGAAUAUUUUCUAAUUAAACUGAGAUGUCAAAGUGAAAAAAUGACAUCUUAUUAUGCUGCUUAUACCAUACUGCUGAAAGUUUUGCUCGCGAUCAGAUUGAGUGUAUGUUUGGAUUGGUACAAGCCAUUUUAGGUUAACUUGUCCUGU